UACGGAGGGAGCUAGCGUUGUUCGGAAUUACUGGGCGUAAAGCGCACGUAGGCGGCUUUGUAAGUUAGAGGUGAAAGCCCGGGGCUCAACUCCGGAACUGCCUUUAAGACUGCAUCGCUUGAAUCCAGGAGAGGUGAGUGGAAUUCCGAGUGUAGAGGUGAAAUUCGUAGAUAUUCGGAGGAACACCAGUGGCGAAGGCGGCUCACUGGUCCAUUAUUGACGCUGAGGUGCGAAAAGCGUGGGGGAGCAAACAGG
rnacentral:rRNA from 1 species